CAGGGAGACAACAAAAUGUUUAAUAUUAUUAUUUUGUCACCUUAGGUCGAUCGGUAUCUCACAUUCUCAAUUUAUUGAGGAUUUCAUUUCCUAAGUUUUUCUAGGUCACACCCAUUAUUUUCCCUGGGCCAUUAGCUCAGGUGGUUAGAGCGCACCCCUGAUAAGGGUGAGGUCCCUGGUUCAAGUCCAGGAUGGCCCAUAUCUCUAUGUUGGGGGUAUAGCUCAGUUGGUAGAGCGCCUGCUUUGCAAGCAGGAUGUCAGCGGUUCGAGUCCGCUUACCUCCACUGAUCACCACCUCUUCCAUAAUUUAUAGAAGGGAAUUGUUUGGAGUUGUGAUCAAAUCUGAACGAAUCUAGCUUCCUAAUGAAAUCAUUAAGAUGCUGGACUCAUUGAAUUAAUUUCAUUGUUUUCAGAGAACCUUGACAACUGCAUAGAUUAUUUUUAAAGACAAUAAGCAUCUUUAAUGAUGCAGAUUUAUUAUUUGUGCGAAUGCAUUAAUAACAAUUCUAUUAAGCUGAUGCUUCAA
rnacentral:tRNA from 1 species